rnacentral:tRNA from 1 species
UGAGGGUUCAAGUCCCUCUACCCCCAAAACUAUAAUUUUUUAUUGACAUA